GAACAGCAAGGACUGGGCUAGAUGUCGGCAUAGAAGCAAAGGUUGGAGCAGGACCCUCAGGCAUGAAAUUAGGAGGCAUCCCCCACGGAAACCCGGUUGGCAUGGUUGUAAGAGCAAAGUAUGCACUGGCUGCAGGCACAGUUGAGGAGACAAUCUCAGAGAUGACUGUCCUCUGGGGAGGAGUUGAAGGCGUUGGAGAAGACUGGCUCUGGGCAGCCAAG
rnacentral:lncRNA from 1 species